AUUGAACGCUGGCGGCGGGCCUAACACAUGCAAGUCGAGCGGAUGAAGGGAGCUUGCUCCUGGAUUCAGCGGCGGACGGGUGAGUAAUGCCUAGGAAUCUGCCUGGUAGUGGGGGAUAACGUCCGGAAACGGGCGCUAAUACCGCAUACGUCCUGAGGGAGAAAGUGGGGGAUCUUUGGACCUCACGCUAUCAGAUGAGCCUAGGUCGGAUUAGCUAGUUGGUGGGGUAAAGGCCUACCAAGGCGACGAUCCGUAACUGGUCUGAGAGGAUGAUCAGUCACACUGGAACUGAGACACGGUCCAGACUCCUACGGGAGGCAGCAGUGGGGAAUAUUGGACAAUGGGCGAAAGCCUGAUCCAGCCAUGCCGCGUGUGUGAAGAAGGUCUUCGGAUUGUAAAGCACUUUAAGUUGGGAGGAAGGGCAGUAAGUUAAUACCUUGCUGUUUUGACGUUACCAACAGAAUAAGCACCGGCUAACUUCGUG
rnacentral:rRNA from 1 species